GGGCGCAUAGCUCAGCGGUAGAGCGCUGCUCUUACAAAGCAGAUGUCACAGGUUCAAAUCCUGUUGUGCCCACCA
rnacentral:tRNA from 5 species